rnacentral:antisense_RNA from 23 species
AAUUAUGGCGGGGCGUACGGGGCCGACUUCGGUCGGGCCGGAUUCUUUGCUCUCCGGUGUUGAGAACCCUGUACGUCUCGCCAGCCCG